GGGCGAGUGGCGGAAUGGUAGACGCGCGCGCCUCAAAAGCGCGUGGGGGCAACCCCAUGGAGGUUCGACUCCUCUCUCGCCCACCA
rnacentral:tRNA from 3 species